rnacentral:lncRNA from 1 species
AGUCCCUGGGCGGGGCGUCUGCCUGCUCUCUCCAGACCUCCGAGCUCCCGUCCCCGGGAGGGUGACAACCGCCAGCCGGCCCACCUCCUCAGUCCCCAUUGGCUACAAGGCGCCACUGCCGCGCUAUGGCUGGGGCUUCCCAGCCAGAGCAGGAGAAUGACGGCCGCUCCCUCCCGCGCCGGAAAGGAGGCAUCACCCUGCACGUUCCCCACCUGAAUUCAGCCACCCUCACUACCGCCACCAGCCCAGGAUAAGGAUCAUAUUUCCAGUCUCCUUUGCAGCUACCCGGCCACUGGACCAAUCUCCAACCAGGCAGAUAAAGGGAUGGAAGUUAGAGUCUCGCCUGGCGACUUCCGGUAACAGCUUUGUGCCACUUUCCCUAGAACGAUCCUCCUGCCUCCUUCCUGCCAGCUCCAUGGAUUGUAAAAUCACGUUGGGCGUGGCAGCCAGACAGAAUAAAGCACCAAAUUAAAACAGGUGCCAGUGUCCCCAUGUCAUGCAGAGUCAGCAAGGCACUCUGCACCAGCCCCAGCCCCACACUUCCUAUCUCCAGGUUUCUAAAAUAAAGAGAAAAAUGAAAUUGCCCUGUGCCCCAAA